CCUACGGGAGGCAGCAGUGGGGAAUAUUGCACAAUGGGCGAAAGCCUGAUGCAGCAACGCCGCGUGAAGGAAGACGGUUUUCGGAUUGUAAACUUCUAUCAAUAGGGAAGAAAGAAAUGACGGUACCUAAAUAAGAAGCCCCGGCUAACUACGUGCCAGCAGCCGCGGUAAUACGUAGGGGGCAAGCGUUAUCCGGAAUUACUGGGUGUAAAGGGGGAGUAGGCGGCAAGGUAAGUGAUAUGUGAAAGCUGGAAUGCGGUAGAGGUAAAGGGAAUUCCUGGUGUAGCGGUGAAAUGCUUAGAUAUCAGGAGGAACGCCAGUGGCGAAGGCGGCUUACUGGACUGUAACUGACGUUGAGGCUCGAAAGCGUGGGGAGCAAACAGGAUUAGAAACCCUUGUAGUC
rnacentral:rRNA from 1 species